UAGCUAGUUGGUAGGGUAAAGGCCUACCAAGGCGACGAUCGGUAGCUGGUCUGAGAGGAUGACCAGCCACACUGGAACUGAGACACGGUCCAGACUCCUACGGGAGGCAGCAGUGGGGAAUAUUGGACAAUGGGGGCAACCCUGAUCCAGCAAUGCCGCGUGUGUGAAGAAGGCCUGAGGGUUGUAAAGCACUUUCGUUAGGGAGGAGGCUAGUUAGGUUAAGAGCUAGACUAGUGGACGUUACCUUUAGAAGAAGCACCGGCUAACUCCGUGCCAGCAGCCGCGGUAAUACGGAGGGUGCGAGCGUUAAUCGGAAUUACUGGGCGUAAAGGGUGCGUAGGUGGUCUGAUAAGUUAUCUGUGAAAUCCCUGGGCUCAACCUGGGCAGGUCAGAUAAUACUGUUGGACUCGAGUAUGGGAGAGGGUAGUGGAAUUUCCGGUGUAGCGGUGAAAUGCGUAGAGAUCGGAAGGAACACCAGUGGCGAAGGCGGCUACCUGGCCUAAUACUGACACUGAGGCACGAAAGCGUGGGGAGCAAACAGGAUUAGAUACCCUGGCAGUCCACGCUGUAAACGAUGUCAACUAGCUGUUGGUUAUAUGAAUAUAAUUAGUGGCGC
rnacentral:rRNA from 1 species